rnacentral:rRNA from 1 species
CACUGACAUUAGAUACCCGGGUAGUCCCAGCUGUAAACGAUGCAGACUAGGUGUUUGGACGGCCACGUGCCGUUCUAGUGCCCGCAGGGAAGCUGUUAAGUCUGCCGCCUGGGAGUACGAUCGCAAGAUUGAAACUUAAAGGAAUUGCGGGGAGCACCACAAGGGGUGAAGCUUGCGGUUUAAUUGGAGUCAACGCCGGAAAUCUCACCGGGAGCGACAGCAGUGUGAUAGCCAGAUUAAAGGUCCUGCUAGACGAGCUG